rnacentral:misc_RNA from 1 species
GAUGAAGAACGUAGCGAAAUGCGAUAAGUAAUGUGAAUUGCAGAAUUCAGUGAAUCAUCGAGUCUUUGAACGCACAUUGCGCCCCCUGGUAUUCCGGGGGGCAUGCCUGUCCGAGCGUCAUUGCUGCCCUCAAGCACGGCUUGUGUGUUGGGCCCCGUCCUCCGAUCCCGGGGGACGGGCCCGAAAGGCAGCGGCGGCACCGCGUCCGGUCCUCGAGCGUAUGGGGCUUUGUCACCCGCUCUGUAGGCCCGGCCGGCGCUUGCCGAUCAACCCAAAUUUUUUAUCCAGGUUGACCUCGGAUCAGGUAGGGAUACCCGCUGAACUUAAGCAUAUCAAUAAGCGGAGGA